rfam:Trichomalopsis sarcophagae strain Alberta scaffold6471, whole genome shotgun sequence.
CAAUCGGCCCUUUUCAGGGCCACCAAAAUUUUCAAACGUACGCAA